rnacentral:rRNA from 1 species
GUAACUACGGUCCGACGCCGACGGUAAAACGUAGGAGGCAGGGGGGAGUCGGAUUUACGGGGCGUAAAGCGCACGGUGGCGGUUAGGUAAGUCGGACGUGAAAGCUCCUAGCUCAACUGGGAGAGGUCGUUCGAAACUGCAUAGCGUGAGGUUGGAAGAGGAGAGCGGAACUCCCGGUGUAGUGGUGGAAUGCGUAGAUAUCGGGAAGAACACCAGUGGCGAAGGCGGCUCUCUGGUCCAAAUCUGACGCUCAUGUGCGAAAGCGUGGGUAGCGAACGGGAUUUAGAUACCCCAGUAGUC